UUAAUCGCUCUUAAAUUGAUCAAAUAAAUUGCAGUUUCAAAAAUACAUAUAGGAUGCUUGCUUCAGCAGCACAUUACUAAAAGAUUAGCAUGGCCCCUGUGCAAGAAUGACAUGUAAAUUUGUGAAGUGUUCCAUAUUUUU
rnacentral:snRNA from 1 species